rnacentral:rRNA from 1 species
UACGUAGGGUGCAAGCGUUGUCCGGAAUUAUUGGGCGUAAAGAGCUCGUAGGCGGUUUGUCGCGUCUGCUGUGAAAACUGGAGGCUCAACCUCCAGCCUGCAGUGGGUACGGGCAGACUAGAGGUAGGUAGGGGGGAGAAUGGAAUCCCGGUGUAGCGGUGAAAUGUGCAGAUAUCGGGAGGAACACCGGUGGCGAAGGCG